rnacentral:rRNA from 1 species
GACGAACGCUGGCGGCGUGCUUAACACAUGCGAGUCGAACGGUAAGGCCCUUCGGGGUACACGAGUGGCGAACGGGUGAGUAACACGUGGGUGAUCUGCCCUGCACUUCGGGAUAAGCCUGGGAAACUGGGUCUAAUACCGGAUAGGACUCCUGGCUUCAUGGUUGGGGGUGGAAAGCUUUUGCGGUGUGGGAUGGGCCCGCGGCCUAUCAGCUUGUUGGUGGGGUAAUGGCCUACCAAGGCGACGACGGGUAGCCGGCCUGGGAGGGUGACCGGUCACACUUGGACUGAGAUACGGCCCAGACUCCUACGGGAGGCAGCAGUGGGGAAUAUUGCACAAUGGGCGCAAGCCUGAUGCAGCGACGCCGCGUGAGGGAUGACGGCCUUCGGGUUGUAAACCUCUUUCAGCUAUGACGAAGCGCAAGUGACGGUAGUAGCAGAAGAAGGACCGGCCAACUACGUGCCAGCCGCCGCGGUAA